AAUGGGCGCAAGCCUGAUCCAGCAAUGCCGCGUGCAGGAUGAAGGCCUUCGGGUUGUAAACUGCUUUUGUACGGAACGAAAAGCCCUGGGUUAAUACCCUGGGGUCAUGACGGUACCGUAAGAAUAAGCACCGGCUAACUACGUGCCAGCAGCCGCGGUAAUACGUAGGGUGCAAGCGUUAAUCGGAAUUACUGGGCGUAAAGCGUGCGCAGGCGGUUUUGUAAGACAGAGGUGAAAUCCCCGGGCUCAACCUGGGAACUGCCUUUGUGACUGCAAGGCUAGAGUACGGCAGAGGGGGAUGGAAUUCCGCGUGUAGCAGUGAAAUGCGUAGAUAUGCGGAGGAACACCGAUGGCGAAGGCAAUCCCCUGGGCCUGUACUGACGCUCAUGCACGAAAGCGUGGGGAGCAAACAGGAUUAGAUACCCUGGUAGUCCACGCCCUAAACGAUGUCAACUGGUUGUUGGGUCUUAACUGACUCAGUAACGAAGCUAACGCGUGAAGUUGACCGCCUGG
rnacentral:rRNA from 1 species